rnacentral:rRNA from 1 species
AUACGGAGGGGGCUAGCGUUGUUCGGAAUUACUGGGCGUAAAGCGCGCGUAGGCGGACCAGUCAGUCAGGGGUGAAAUCCCGGGGCUCAACCCCGGAACUGCCUUUGAUACUGCUGGUCUUGAGUUCGAGAGAGGUGAGUGGAAUUCCGAGUGUAGAGGUGAAAUUCGUAGAUAUUCGGAGGAACACCAGUGGCGAAGGCGGCUCACUGGCUCGAUACUGACGCUGAGGUGCGAAAGCGUGGGGAGCAAACAGGAUCAGAAACCCCAGUAGUCC